rnacentral:rRNA from 1 species
UACAGAGACUGCAAGCGUUGUCCGGAUUUAUUGGGUUUAAAGGGUGCGUAGGCGGCGUAGUAAGUCCGUGGUGAAAGCCCACAGCUCAACUGUGGAACUGCCAUGGAUACUGCUAGGCUUGAGUACAGACGAGGUAGGCGGAAUGGAUAGUGUAGCGGUGAAAUGCAUAGAUACUAUCCAGAACACCGAUUGCGUAGGCAGCUUACUAGACUGUAACUGACGCUGAGGCACGAAAGCGUGGGGAGCGAACAGG